UACGUAGGGUCCGAGCGUUGUCCGGAGUGACUGGGCGUAAAGCGCGCGCAGGCGGCCCGCGAGGUGUCCUGUGAAAGCCCCGUGCUCAACGCGGGAGGGUCAGGGCAAACCGGCGGGCUUGAGGCCGGUAGAGGUGGGUGGAACUCCUGGUGGAGUGGUGAAAUGCGUAGAGAGCAGGAAGAACACCCGUGGCGAAGGCGGCCCACUGGGCCGGACCUGACGCUGAGGCGCGAAGGCGUGGGGAGCGAACGGG
rnacentral:rRNA from 1 species